GAUGAAGAACGCAGCGAAAUGCGAUAAGUAAUGUGAAUUGCAGAAUUCAGUGAAUCAUCGAAUCUUUGAACGCACCUUGCACCCUUUGGUAUUCCGAAGGGUAUGCUCGUUUGAGUGUCAUUGUACUCUCACACUUCUAAUUCCUUUCGGGAUUGGGAGCGGUGGACUUGGGUGUUGCUGCUUUAGUUGUGGCUCACCUCAAAUAAGUUAGUGCAACUCUUGGUUGGACAUAGUACGGCGUGAUAAGUGUCUUCGCCGGCGCCUCUGUAAGGAGGGUGGCCGAUCGGGAGCUCUGUGCUUCAAACCGUCUUCGGACGAUCUUUGACAACUUGACCUCAAAUCGAGUAGGACUACCCGCUGAACUUAAGCAUAUCAAUAAGCGGAGGA
rnacentral:misc_RNA from 1 species